UACGUAGGGUGCGAGCGUUGUCCGGAUUUAUUGGGCGUAAAGAGCUUGUAGGCGGCUCGUCGCGUCGGGUGUGAAAACUUGCGGCUUAACCGCAAGCCUGCACCCGAUACGGGCGGGCUAGAGUUCGGCAGGGGGAGACUGGAAUUCCUGGUGUAGCGGUGGAAUGCGCAGAGUAUCGGGAAGAACACCCGUGGCGAAGGCGGCACUCUGGGACGGUACUGACGCUGAGACGCGAAAGCGUGGGGAGCGAACAGGAUUAGGAUACCCU
rnacentral:rRNA from 1 species